rnacentral:lncRNA from 1 species
GGCUGACACAUUUUAUAUCUCUAGGACAUGAUUUUAUACUUAUUGGGUAGUUAUAUUAUCAUUCAUGUUUAUGUGUCUAUGAAUCAUCCAAAGGAUUAACAAGAUGAUGACACAUGUUCUCAAAGAGUUGAAAAUUUGAGACAUGCGUCAUUGAUGGUUGAUUCUUAAAUUGCUCCUGAUCAUAGGAUCAUCAUGGAGAUGGUGAUUAAUCUGGAUAGAUCGAGGCACAGAUUGCUUCUUUUGAAAAGAUGAGUCUCGAGUCUGCAGUGUAGAGAUAUUGGAGUGAGAGUACAGGUGAUUGUUAGAGAAUAACUAGAACUGAAGUGACCAACACGAGAAGUCA